rnacentral:rRNA from 1 species
UACGUAGGGGGCAAGCGUUGUCCGGAAUCAUUGGGCGUAAAGAGCGUGUAGGCGGUCCGUUAAGUCGGCUGUGAAAGUCCAAGGCUCAACCUUGGGAUGCCGGUCGAUACUGCCGGACUAGAGUUCGGAAGAGGCGAGUGGAAUUCCCGGUGUAGCGGUGGAAUGCGCAGAUAUCAGGAGGAACACCAAUAGCGAAGGCAGCUCGCUGGGACGGUACUGACGCUAAGGCGCGAAAGCGUGGGGAGCGAACAGG